rnacentral:miRNA from 1 species
UCGGAAAUUUUCGACGGAUUUAUAUUUCCGUCGGAAAUUUCCAACAUCGGAAAUUUCCGACGGAAAUAUAAAUCUGUCGGAAAUUUUCGAUAGAAAC